CGUUGUAGACUAAAGGGGCGCUAUCUUGUGUGGGCCAGGUACAUAUCCGUUGGAAAACGGUAUCAUAGAGGGUGAGAAUCCCGUCUUUGACCUGGUGACUUUCCAUGCAUGUACGUUGCGCUUCCGACGAGUCGGGUUGUUUGGGAAUGCAGCCCAAAAUGGGUGGUAAAUUUCAUCUAAGGCUAAAUAUGGGCACGAGACCGAUAGCGAACAAGUACCAUGAGGGAAAGGUGAAAAGAACUUUGAAAAGAGAGUCAAAAAGUACGUGAAACCGUUAAAGGGGAAACGAAUGGAGNUAGCAAAUUGCCAGGGCAGCAAUCAMCCGGGGGAGCUGUGGAGGGCGGCUGUGCCUGCCGACAGGAGAGAUCCUGCGGGCAUAGGCAUACGUUUCUUUAUCCACGGGGCCGCCGGUGCACUUGCGGCGCACACAAUUUUUGGCAGGCCAGCAUCGGUUUUGGCUGGCAGACAAAGGGCACGGGAAGGUAGUUGCGGCGCCUCGGCGUCGUAAUGUUAUAACCUGUGGUUUACUUUUUAUCAUGUGCCGGGCAAGACCGAGGAGUAGCAGCGCGCACAAUUUUCGGAGAGCCACCGCUCUGGCUGCGGGUGUGGAAGGACUGUGCCCCGCCGCCCCUCACGGGGAGGCGGACGUGCAGUCGUCCAUGCCGCCAAUCUUGCGCAGGACCCAAUGGGCAGAGCAAUCUGUGCAUAUGGGGCUUGUGCCGGAGAUCUGCAGCUUGAUACGGGGUGUACCCAGACCACGCGCUUGUGAUGCUGGCGGAAAAUGGCUUCAUCCGACCCGUCUUGAAACACGGACCAAGGAGUCUAACAUAUGCGCGAGUCUUUGGGUUGAAAGCCCGCAGGCGGAAUGAAAGUGAAGGCACGCAUGGCGUGCUGAGGUGAGACGCGAGGCGUGUCCCUUUUCGCCGUUUCCAUUCAUUUGGAGGUGGGGGGGAGGGGCAGGGCGAGCCGCAUCAUCGACCGAUCCGGAUGGUUCUAUCCUGAAAGAUUUGAGUAAGAGCGUAUCUGUUGGGACCCGAAAGAUGGUGAACUAUGCCUGAACAGGGUGAAGUCUGAGGAAACUCAGAUGGAAGCUCGUAGCGAUUCUGACGUGCAAAUCGAUCGUCUGAUUUGGGUAUAGGGGCGAAAGACUAAUCGAACUAUCUAGUAGCUGGUUCCCUCCGAAGUUUCCCUCAGGAUAGCUGGAACUAACUUAAAGCAGUUUUAUCAGGUAAAGCGAAUGAUUAGAGGCCUUGGGGUUGAAAUAACCUCAACCUAUUCUCAAACUUUAAAUAGGUAAGAAGCCUGGCUUGCUUAACUGAAGCCAGGCAGUACUGAAUGCAAGUUCCAAGUGGGCCAUUUUUGGUAAGCAGAACUGGCGAUGCGGGAUGAACCGAACGCAAAGUUAAAGUGCCAAAGUUCACGCUCACCUAGAACCCAGAAAAGGUGUUGGCUGAUGAAGACAGCAGGACGGUGGCCAUGGAAGUCGGAACCCGCUAAGGAGUGUGUAACAACUCACCUGCCGAAUCAGCCAGCCCUGAAAAUGGAUGGCGCUCAAGCGUGACACUCAUACUUUGCCGUUGCUCUUAAUUAGCCAAAUACGCAAAAAUAUAUAGAGCAACGAGUAGGAGGGCGUGGAGGUCGUGAAGCAGCUUAGGGCG
rnacentral:rRNA from 1 species